rnacentral:rRNA from 1 species
CCCGGAGGGGGCGCGCCUAAACUCGCCAGUCGAGCGAGCUUGCCUAGAUGAUUUUAGUGCUUGCACUAAAUGAACCCCUUAUAAAGCGAGCGGCGGACGGGUGAGUAACACGUGGCCCUUCUGCCCAAGAGACUGGGAUAACACCUGGAAACAGAUGCUAAUACCGGAUAACAACACUAGACGCAUGUCUACACUUUGAAAGAUGGUUCUGCUAUCACUCUUGGAUGGACCUGCGGUGCAUUAGCUAGUUGGUAAGGUAACGGCUUACCAAGGCAAUGAUGCAUAGCCGAGUUGAGAGACUGAUCGGCCACAUUGGGACUGAGACACGGCCCAAACUCCUACGGGAGGCAGCAGUAGGGAAUCUUCCACAAUGGACGAAAGUCUGAUGGAGCAACGCCGCGUGAGUGAAGAAGGGUUUCGGCUCGUAAAGCUCUGUUGGUAGUGAAGAAAGAUAGAGGUAGUAACUGGCCUUUAUUUGACGGUAAUUACUUAGAAAGUCACGGCUAACUACGUGCCAGCAGCCGCGGUAAUACGUAGGUGGCAAGCGUUGUCCGGAUUUAUUGGGCGUAAAGCGAGUGCAGGCGGUUCAAUAAGUCUGAUGUGAAAGCCUUCGGCUCAUCCGGAGAAUUGCAUCACACACUGUUGAACUUGAGUGCAAAACAGGAGAGUGGAACUCCAUGUGUAUCGUUGGAAUGCGUAUAUAUAUGCAAAAAACACCAGUGGCGACGGCGGCUCUCUGGCCUGCUACUGACGCUGAAGCUCUAAAUGCAGGCUAACGAACAAGAAUAUAUACCCUGACACUCCCUGGCCUUACAACAAUCAAUGCUAAUUGUUUGGCAGGUUUCCGCCC